UGAAAGAGUUUAGUAAUGGGUAAAUCUCAGAAGGAGAAGAGGAAAGAAGACAGCAGAGGAUACAAGAACCAUGGCAUCUGCUCUCUCCCUUUGGACUGAAUUUCAGCAACUGUAAUUAAGAAGAUGAGCCACAGAGAGAUGGAAUCUGACGCAAUCACCCUGGCUGGAGUGCAGUGGCAUAAUCAUAGCUCCAUGCAACCCAGAGCUUCUGGGCUCAAGAUGUUUCCGGAAUUGACCUAGAGAUGAAGAAGCCAGCAACCUGGAAUUGCCAUCAAAUGCUGACACAAAAGUUCCUACAAAAGCCAAGGAAAAGGGGAAUCUAGCAAACCAGAAAACUUUUACACAACUACCACUCUACUUCAACAAGUAUCACAGCAGCCUGACACCCUCACCAGAGGACAAGCAGCCUGCAGAACGGCCAUCCAGGCUGGGUGCAUUCCUAGGAUGUGAUUUCCUUCAGUGUGGAGUAAACCCUGCCUUUUACCCACCAACACCAGCAAGGAAGUAUAGAAGACCAGUACCAUUUACUCAAGGAAUGUCCAUCUUUCAUUUGGAAUGCCUUAAGACUUCCAGGAAGAGCAUGCUAUCACUACAUCAAUUGGAGGUGAGAGAGGACAUCAGUUGGAGGGGACUGUUAGCUUAUGGACAAUGAUGUUGAAAGCCUUGAGAAGGUGCAGAAAAGAUAGGUAAGGCCAUCCCCAGAAAACUGCCUGAUAUGGUAUGGAGUCUGCAGAGGGCAGAAGGUGACCGCCCUAGGUCCCUGCCAUGGGGGAGUAGGGGCAUAGGGUAAAGGAUACCUACCGACACCCCCCCCCCAGUGCCUUGGAGCUAUAGAUGAGAAGGGCCUGUGGUCAGUUGAGAGUCAACAGAUGGGCCCAAACUUGGCUCAGAAUGCAAAAGUAGGCAGUGGACUGUUGGAAUCCAAAUCCCUGCACUCCUCACUUCCAAUGUGACUCACCCCAAACUAACUACUGUUCCUUACAGCUCAAUCUUACCCAAUACCGCAAAAGAAAUACCAUACUGGCCAACAGGAACUAUCUGUUUGGGGCAGGAGGGAAAGGUGUACAGAGCAGGCACUGAAUGCAGCCUUAGGAAAUUUCUAGGAAGACACUUUCAGCAACCGGGACCCACACGUGACCAAGCGCCUUGCUUGGAUGCCCUGGCCAGUCCCAGUCACUGGAGAGGGUAUUUCUUCAAGGAAGAUACUGCAAUGCACUGGGGAUGGGUGGUCCUCAGACACAAGACCUGGACAGGAGGGAAGCUUUCCUGGGUCCAAGAGUGGUACUAAAAUUUGUGGUCAAAUGCAGGGUUUGGAAGAAGCUGGAAGGAAACCUGGAGCCCUGAUUUUCUAGCCAUCUUAUACUCACCAAUAAAGAAUGUUAAUUCUAUAUUAAUAUUAAAAAUUGUGCAUAUGUGUGUGUGUGCAUGUGCAUAUAUGCUGGGGUGAGUGGGGAGAGGAGAGCAAAAGAAAAUACAAACAUAUUGAUUUGAGUGCAUAAGAGUAUAUCAAAUAUUACCAUCAUUCAAAAAAACUUCUAUAAAACUAAAGACAUCGAAA
rnacentral:lncRNA from 1 species